GCUUGUCUCAAAGAUUAAGCCAUGCAUGUCUAAGUGUAAAUAAGUCUAUACUGUGAAACUGCGAAUGGCUCAUUAAAUCAGUUAUCGUUUAUUUGAUGAUCUCUUACUACUUGGAUAACCGUAGUAAUUCUAGAGCUAAUACGUGCGCACAACCCGACUUCUGGAAGGGUCGUAUUUAUUAGAUAAAAGGCCAGCCGGGCUUUGCCCGACCUGCGGUGAAUCAUGAUAACUUCACGAAUCGUAUGGCCUUGUGCCGACGAUGUUUCAUUCAAAUUUCUGCCCUAUCAAUUGGCGAUGGUAGGAUAGAGGCCUACCAUGGUGUUAACGGGUGACGGGGGAUUAGGGUUCGAUUCCGGAGAGGCAGCCUGAGAAACGGCUACCACAUCCAAGGAAGGCAGCAGG
rnacentral:rRNA from 1 species